rnacentral:rRNA from 1 species
GUGCCAGCAGCCGCGGUAAUACGGAGGGUGCAAGCAUUAAUCGGAAUUAUUGGGCGUAAAGGGCGCGUAGGCGGAAGAGUAUGUCAAAUGUGAAAUCCCAAGGCUCAACCUUGGACCUGCAUUUGAAACUGCUUUUCUAGAGGGUAGGCGGAGAAAACGGAAUUCCACGUGUAGCGGUGAAAUGCGUAGAUAUGUGGAAGAACACCAGUGGCGAAGGCGGUUUUCUAGCUUAUAACCUGACGCUGAGGCGCGAAAGCAAGGGGAGCAAACAGGAUUAGAUACCCUGGUAGUCCUUGCCGUAAACGAUGCAUACUUGAUGUAGUUGGGCUCAACCCUGACUGUGUCGAAGCGAACGCGAUAAGUAUGCCGCCUGAGGAGUACGUCCGCAAGGAUAAA